CGAAUGCUGACAUAAGUAACGAUAAAGCGGGUGAAAAGCCCGCUCGCCGGAAGACCAAGGGUUCCUGUCCAACGUUAAUCGGGGCAGGGUGAGUCGACCCCUAAGGCGAGGCCGAAAGGCGUAGUCGAUGGGAAACAGGUUAAUAUUCCUGUACUUGGUGUUACUGCGAAGGGGGGACGGAGAAGGCUAUGUUGGCCGGGCGACGGUUGUCCCGGUUUAAGCGUGUAGGCUGGUUUUCCAGGCAAAUCCGGAAAAUCAAGGCUGAGGCGUGAUGACGAGGCACUACGGUGCUGAAGCAACAAAUGCCCUGCUUCCAGGAAAAGCCUCUAAGCAUCAGGUAACAUCAAAUCGUACCCCAAACCGACACAGGUGGUCAGGUAGAGAAUACCAAGGCGCUUGAGAGAACUCGGGUGAAGGAACUAGGCAAAAUGGUGCCGUAACUUCGGGAGAAGGCACGCUGAUAUGUAGGUGAAGUCCCUCGCGGAUGGAGCUGAAAUCAGUCGAAGAUACCAGCUGGCUGCAACUGUUUAUUAAAAACACAGCACUGUGCAAACACGAAAGUGGACGUAUACGGUGUGACGCCUGCCCGGUGCCGGAAGGUUAAUUGAUGGGGUUAGCGCAAGCGAAGCUCUUGAUCGAAGCCCCGGUAAACGGCGGCCGUAACUAUAACGGUCCUAAGGUAGCGAAAUUCCUUGUCGGGUAAGUUCCGACCUGCACGAAUGGCGUAAUGAUGGCCAGGCUGUCUCCACCCGAGACUCAGUGAAAUUGAACUCGCUGUGAAGAUGCAGUGUACCCGCGGCAAGACGGAAAGACCCCGUGAACCUUUACUAUAGCUUGACACUGAACAUUGAGCCUUGAUGUGUAGGAUAGGUGGGAGGCUUUGAAGUGUGGACGCCAGUCUGCAUGGAGCCGACCUUGAAAUACCACCCUUUAAUGUUUGAUGUUCUAACGUUGACCCGUGAUCCGGGUUGCGGACAGUGUCUGGUGGGUAGUUUGACUGGGGCGGUCUCCUCCUAAAGAGUAACGGAGGAGCACGAAGGUUGGCUAAUCCUGGUCGGACAUCAGGAGGUUAGUGCAAUGGCAUAAGCCAGCUUGACUGCGAGCGUGACGGCGCGAGCAGGUGCGAAAGCAGGUCAUAGUGAUCCGGUGGUUCUGAAUGGAAGGGCCAUCGCUCAACGGAUAAAAGGUACUCCGGGGAUAACAGGCUGAUACCGCCCAAGAGUUCAUAUCGACGGCGGUGUUUGGCACCUCGAUGUCGGCUCAUCACAUCCUGGGGCUGAAGUAGGUCCCAAGGGUAUGGCUGUUCGCCAUUUAAAGUGGUACGCGAGCUGGGUUUAGAACGUCGUGAGACAGUUCGGUCCCUAUCUGCCGUGGGCGCUGGAGAACUGAGGGGGGCUGCUCCUAGUACGAGAGGACCGGAGUGGACGCAUCACUGGUGUUCGGGUUGUCAUGCCAAUGGCACUGCCCGGUAGCUAAAUGCGGAAGAGAUAAGUGCUGAAAGCAUCUAAGCACGAAACUUGCCCCGAGAUGAGUUCUCCCUGACUCCUUGAGAGUCCUGAAGGAACGUUGAAGACGACGACGUUGAUAGGCCGGGUGUGUAAGCGCAGCGAUGCGUUGAGCUAACCGGUACUAAUGAACCGUGAGGCUUAACCUU
rnacentral:rRNA from 1 species